CUAAUGGCUUCAUCGAAUCGUAGAUUUAACUUCUGCUUGCCUUCUUUGAUCCAUAAAUGGACUUCUUAGGCUUGCAUACUUUCCCAACAUUGCUUGGAUCAACAAAACCUUCCGGUUGUGUCAUGUACACAGUUUCUUCAAAAAUCCCAUUAAGGAAGGCGAUUUUGACAUCCAUUUACCAUAUUGCAUAAUCAUAAUAUGCGUCAAUUGCUAGGAUAAUCGAGACGGACUUACACUAGUAGAAACACUUAAAUGAGCAUCGCAAAAUGCAAACUUAAAAACCAGUGCAAUAAAAAACAAGCGGGGUUGAGGGAAAGAGUAAUCGCAUCGGUUUAAACCAAACCAGUGCGAAAAUGAGUUAAUCGCACCAGUUCGAACCAAUGCGAAUGUUAAUGUAGAAAAAAACCGAUCUUUUAUCUUCUUUCUUUCUCUUUAUGUCUUCUUUCUUUCACUUUCCUCGAUAUAUCCUCCUCUCUCAUCUGCCUAUCUCUCAUCUACAACAAUGGAGGCUCUUUCCUUAAACUCCUCUCUCCUUCAAUCUCCUUCUCCAUAACCGCCGCUUUCCCUUUCCUUUUCUCUCUCCUUCGAUCUCUUUCUCCAUAACUGCGCCGCAAGCAAUGCCGCUCUCCUUCUCCUUCUCAGUCCAAAAUCAACGUCAUUAGAACCAAGCACAACCACCAUCGCCGCCGUCAUCAAUUUGAACCAAAUAUAACAACAACAACAACAACAACAACAACAACAAACUUGAAUCAAUUAUCGAUUCAAAAAUCACAAAUUCGAGGCUGACAUGCAUGUAAGGUAGAAAAUUUUGGCACUUCUAGAUUCAUGGAAAGAAGCAUUUGGUGGUCUAGGUGGAAAUUAUGGUCUUGUGAUGAACUGAGGGUAAGCUCAUUCAGCUUAUGUUUUUGAGUGCUUGGGCACUCGUAGAUAUUAUAAACUCCCAUUUAGGUAGUUAUGGGACUUCAUCCCUUGUCAGAAUUGUGUCGUAGUCCUAAAUGAGUACUACAUGGAAAGCACGUUAAGUUUGAGCUUUCUGAUAUCUGUGCUUGUAUUCUGAAGCUUCUCAAUUCUCAUCUCACUCCUAGUGUUUCUGUUAGUGAAUCAAGAGUCUUCUACUUGAAGAUGAAGGGAGAUUAUAUCAUUGUUAUAUGGCUGACUGUAAAUCUUGUGAUGGAAGGAAACUUCUGCUGAAGAUACUAUGAAUUCUUACAAAGCUGCUCAUCCGGUUUGUGUGUUUUAUUUUAGUUUUCUUUAUUUUAUUUUAUUUUUGUUUUGUGCCGUUUUAUAGGGUUUAGAUGUUCAAUUUUGCGGAGAUCUGUUUGAAUUUAUUUUGACCUAAAAGAUUUAAUUCAAUUUGUAUUUGUUAUUUUGUAUUUUUUUUUCUCUGAUUUUGCUGCUCUAUAUACUGAGAUAUGGAAGAAUAACUAAGAUUCGAGCUAACAAUCGCUAAAUGAAUGCUUAAUGUUGUUUGUUUUAGUUACUAAAGUUACUAAACAUAAUAUAUUGGUGGAAUGACUGAGAUUUGAUACUUGAAUAUGCAUAUAUUGGAUGUAUUUUGAAUAAUUAAGAAAAUUCCUGCAGUUUUAUAGGAGUAUUUGGAUGUAUAUUAAGUUUCUUGCAAUAUAACAGGAGUUUGGAUGUAUUUUGCAUAUUUGAGUAUAUUUUUGCUGUUUUAAUACGAAUAUUUAGAUAUUAUUUUGGAUAUUUGAGAACAUUCCUCCAGUUUAAUAGAAAUAUUGAUGUGUUGUGGAUAUGAUAUGUGUCGGUAGAAUAUUGUAGUUGAAAUGAAUAACGAUGAGAAUGUUGGUGAGAAGAAUAUUUUUGAUUUAUUGGUUUUGAAUGCUAGAUUGAAGUGAGGUAUUAUUUGAACUGGAUUGUUAACUCUCUGGAUUUGGAUGAAGUUUAAUUUAGAGACUUGUUUCAGUACUAAUUACCAACAUACUUGUAGUAUACUAGCUCACGCUUGUUUCAUUUUAAAAGUGGAGUGCAAGGAUAGAGUGAGACAGUAUUGAGUAAUGGAUUUGAUUAUUGCUUUUCUGGAUUUGUUGGCCUAAUUUGGUUGGGAAUAUGCAAUGCAAGGAUACAAGCCUUUGAUAGAAGUUGGAAAAAAAAACGUGCAAGAGCAGCUGAGUAUCUGGUUAGAUCUUGGAUGGAAGAAUCAUAUCCAGACAUUAAUAGUCGUAUAAUUUCUUACAUUAUUGGACUUGAUAGCCUGAAAGCAUUCUGCAAUGAAAGUAUUACCUCAAUAGCGACUGGAUGCCAAGACAUAAGGCUACGCAUGGAUGGACUAUUUGAGGUUAAGGAGCAUGCAAUCAAAUUUGUCAGAGAAUUCACUACUUUAUAUACAAAUGGGUGAAUUUUUAACUUUUUACUUUUUAUAGUUCAUGUUUGUCCUAUGGUAUAACAAGUGGAUCACAUUUGUAGGCUCAGCCUUAGAGCACAACCUCUACGCCUACAGCUAUUGUGCCAGCACUAAUUGCACCUCAAGCUCAGUAAAUUCUUGAAGUAUUUUCUUUUUAAUCUUCCUACUUUGGUGUACCAAUUAUUAUUAUUAAUAUUCAACACUGAAAGUUUCUAGGCUUGUAUGAUACAUGAUCUUUGUUACUGUGCUUAUAAAUACUAUUUUGUUAUGUUAGGACGCAGACAGCUACAGAACAUGUUGUUGCAGCUGCCGUGAGUCCCUUGACUGAUGCAGUUGCUGCUUCAUGAGUUUUAACCGUUUCUUAGAUCUUCUAAGCAAUGUUUUCCAUCAAAAUCACUACUUUGCGGAACUUAUGAAUAAAUACGAACUUAAUUACUUGUAUGCUGAGGAAACGCAAAUGUCUAUGGCUAGGUUGCAUCUAAUUUAGUUAUGGGAAGCAAUUUGGAGAGCAUCGUUCAGCAAAUUCUUGAUAUGGGUGGAGGAAGUUGGGACAAGGUUACUGUUGUUCGUGCUUUGCAUGCUGCUUAUAACAACCCUAAGAGGGCUGUCGAAUAUUUGUACUCUGUAUGUUUAUAUGCUACUAAUUAGUCCUUCAUGCUCCCCCCUCCCACUUUAAUUCAUAAACGAGCAUACACUGUGCUUGAUUCACUCUAAAAUUCUUGCAAAGGUGUUAAGGUUCAGGAUUAUCUUUGUAAAUCCAUCUUGUUACUGCAUUUGACUUUAAUAGUGCCUCAUAUUUGGUUCUUUUGAUAAAGAAUGUUCUACUUCGGCAUUGUGCCAUCAAUUGGACUCUGUUAUGAUUAAUUUACUUGUAAUCACCCACAAUGGGAGUGCCAAGAGUUUCAGCACAGUGGACUCGCAGCUACAAGUGUUUAUUGUGAUAUGUUGUUACAAUUUUUUUUUUUCAAUUUUAUUUUAUUUGUGUGCGACCUUAUAUUUUAUUUUAUUU